GACGGAGGAUGCAAGCGUUAUCCGGAAUUAUUGGGCGUAAAGGGUGCGUAGGCGGUGCGGUAAGUGCGGUGUGAAAUCCCACGGCUCAACCGUGGAAUUGCGCUGCAUACUGCCGUGCUGGAGGAAGACAGGGGUAAGCGGAACUGAUGGUGGAGCGGUGAAAUGCGUUGAUAUCAUCAGGAACACCGGUGGCGAAAGCGGCUUACUGGGUCUUUUCUGACGCUGAGGCACGAAAGCUAGGGUAGCGAACGGG
rnacentral:rRNA from 1 species